AUUGCACGCUGGCGGCAGGCCUAACACAUGCAAGUCGAACGAGUGGCGGACGGGUGAGUAAUGUCUGGGAAACUGCCUGAUGGAGGGGGAUAACUACUGGAAACGGUAGCUAAUACCGCAUACCAUCGGAUGUGCCCAGAUGGGAUUAGCUAGUAGGUGGGGUAAAGGCGCACCUAGGCGACGAUCCCUAGCUGGUCUGAGAGGACGACAAGCCACACUGGAGCUGGGACACGGUCCAGACUCCAACGGGAGGCAGCAGUGGGGAAUAUUGCACCAUGGGCGCAAGCCUGAUGCAGCCAUGCCGCAUGUAUGAAGAAGGCCUUCGGGUUAUAAAGUACUUUCAGCGGGGAGGCGUUACCCGGAGAAGAAGCACCGGCUAACUCCGUACAGGCAGCCGCGGUAAUAC
rnacentral:rRNA from 1 species